GGGAAACGCUUGAAGUCAGUCGCGUCGGCUAGAAAUCAGCCUUGCUUUUGCUUGGUGUACUUUCUUGUUGAUGGGUCAGCAUCAAUUUCGACCGUCGGAUAAAGUCGUCGGGAAUGUGGCAUCUUCGGAUGUGUUAUAGCCCGGCGUCGCAUACGGUGGUUGGGAUUGAGGAACUCAGCACGCCGCAAGGCCGGGUCCUCUUGGACCACGUCCGUGCUUAGGAUGCUGGCAUAAUGGCUUUAAUCGACCCGUCUUGAAACACGGACCAAGGAGUCUAACAUGCCUGCGAGUGUUUGGGUGGAAAACCCAUGCGCGAAAUGAAAGUGAAAGUUGAGAUCCCCCCCCUGGGGAGAGCAUUGACGCCCGGACCAGACCUUUUGCGAAGGAUCCGCGGUAGAGCAUGUAUGUUGGGACCCGAAAGAUGGUGAACUAUGCCUGAAUAGGGUGAAGCCAGAGGAAACUCUGGUGGAGGCUCGUAGCGAUUCUGACGUGCAAAUCGAUCGUCAAAUUUGGGUAUAGGGGCGAAAGACUAAUCGAACCAUCUAGUAGCUGGUUCCCGCCGAAGUUUCCCUCAGGAUAGCAGAAACUCAUUGUAUCAGAUUUAUGUGGUAAAGCGAAUGAUUAGAGGCCUUGGGGUUGAAACAACCUUAACCUAUUCUCAAACUUUAAAUAUGUAAGAACGAGCCGUCUCUUGACUGGACCGCUCGACGAUUGAGAGUUUCUAGUGGGCCAUUUUUGGUAAGCAGAACUGGCGAUGCGGGAUGAACCGAACGCGAGGUUAAGGUGCCGGAAUUCACGCUCAUCAGACACCACAAAAGGUGUUGGUUCAUCUAG
rnacentral:rRNA from 1 species